rfam:Perkinsus marinus ATCC 50983 gcontig_1104296620050, whole genome shotgun sequence.
AAGACAGUACGGCGAAGCUACCAUCUGCUGGAUUACGGCUGAACGCCUCUAAGCCGGAAUCCAUGCUGGAUAAGCAGUGUUGUACACCGUGCUCAAUGCUACAAGAAAAAGGCUAGGUCAGGCUUCGGCCUGACCAAAAUUCAAGCUGCUAUACCUCUGGCUGCAUUGACUUGUGGUCAGAGUGUAUGGUGAUCAUAGCAAUUGCAAGUAUUGGGCUCGAUAAAUCCUUUGAAGACGACUUAAUUGCAUCCGGGUAUUGUAAGUGUUGAGAGUAGGCUUAGUCUUACGAUCCACUGAGAUUCAUCCCGUGUUGCGCCGAUUUGU